UUGAAGUGACGUGCUUGCACUGAUUUUAACAAUGAAGCGAGUGGCGAACUGGUGAGUAACACGUGGGAAAUCUGCCCAGAAGCAGGGGAUAACACUUGGAAACAGUGUGCUAAUACCGUAUAACAACAAAAUCCGCAUGGAUUUUGUUUGAAAGGUGGCUUCGGCUAUCACUUCUGGAUGAUCCCGCGGCGUAUUAGUUAGUUGGUGAGGUAAAGGCCCACCAAGACGAUGAUACGUAGCCGACCUGAGAGGGUAAUCGGCACAUUGGGACUGAGACACGGCCAAACUCCUACGGGAGUGCAGCAGUAGGGAAAUCUUCCACAAUGGACGGAAGUCUGAUGGAGCAAUGCCGCGUGAGUGAAGAAGGGUUUCAGGGCUCGUAAAAACUCUGUUUGUUAACAGAAGAACACCUUUUGAGAGUAACUGUUCAAGGGUUGACGGUAUUUAACCAGAAAGCCACGGCUAACUACGUGCCAGUCCAGGCCGCAGGUAAUACGUACGAGUGGCAAGCGUUGUCCGGAUUUAUUUGGGCGUAAAUGCGAGCGCAGGCGGUAAUNAAGUCUGAUGUUGACAGCCUUCGGCUUAACCGGAGAAGUGCAUCGGAAACUUGGGGGACUUGAAGUGCAAGAAAGAGGACAGUGGAACUACCAUGUGUAGCGGGUGGAAUGACGUAGAUAUAUGGAAGAACACACAGGUGGGA
rnacentral:rRNA from 1 species